rnacentral:rRNA from 1 species
GAUGAACGCUGGCGGCGUGCCUAAUACAUGCAAGUCGAGCGAACGGACGAGAAGCUUGCUUCUCUGAUGUUAGCGGCGGACGGGUGAGUAACACGUGGAUAACCUACCUAUAAGACUGGGAUAACUUCGGGAAACCGGAGCUAAUACCGGAUAAUAUUUUGAACCGCAUGGUUCAAAAGUGAAAGACGGUCUUGCUGUCACUUAUAGAUGGAUCCGCGCUGCAUUAGCUAGUUGGUAAGGUAACGGCUUACCAAGGCAACGAUGCAUAGCCGACCUGAGAGGGUGAUCGGCCACACUGGAACUGAGACACGGUCCAGACUCCUACGGGGGGCAGCAGUAGGGAAUCUUCCGCAAUGGGCGAAAGCCUGACGGAGCAACGCCGCGUGAGUGAUGAAGGUCUUCGGAUCGUAAAACUCCGUUAUUAGGGAAGAACAUAUGUGUAAGUAACUGUGCACAUCUUGACGGUACCUAAUCAGAAAGCCACGGCUAACUACGUG